rnacentral:rRNA from 1 species
CACCUGUUCCCAUUCCGAACACAGAAGUUAAGCUCUCUAGCGCUGAUGGUACUUGGUGGGAAACUGCCUGGGAGAGUAGGACGUAGCCACGUA